AUCAGGCGGGUUGCGACAGGUUCCCCGCAAGGGGAUGAAAAGGGAAGUCGGGUGAGGCCCGCGCUGCCCCUGCAACUGUAAGCGGCGAGCCAUCCGGCCAUCAUGCCAUUGGGACGUUCAAGUCCCGAGAAGGCGGUCGGACAGCAUCGACCCGUGAGCCAGGAGACCUGCCUGACGCAGUCGUUCUUC
rnacentral:ncRNA from 1 species